UCGCAAUAGUGAAACACUAAAAGCAUAAUUACCGUAAAUUACCGAUUUCUUCUCUAAAUUUAUGUAUAUUCAGUAUGCGCUGUAAUUGCUGCCCAUGUUAACGCAGUAGUGAAUAUUAUGCAACGAUUAUAGAAAUAUUUAUUACUAACAACAAUACCUAGCCUUUUCUUACGUUUUAAAUAAAAAUAAGAAAUUAUGAAAAGAAUCUAUAAUUUGUUUACGUUUUUAAUUGAUUGUGGUUGAUGUGGCUCGCUGGGACAAAAAAGUUCUACAAAAGACUAUAUACAUAUAGGUAUAACUGAAAGCCAGUAUAUCUCGGAAGACCAUCGGUUUUAAGAUACUUUCCACUACUCCGUCUCCACGAGUUAUAGGAUCGUUACAUUAGCCAUAACUGAUUUGAUAGUUAGAAGCCCGAAGGAGAUGUAAUCAAAAAAGAAGGCCAUUAUUUAAGAUAUUUAACUUUUAAGAAUUGGACUCAGGAUUAACGUGAUAAUAAAACUGUACAGAAAAAAAAAUAUAUCAAUACACACGAAAAAUAUUAGAA